CCUACGGGCGGCAGCAGUAGGGAAUUUUCGGCAAUGGGGGGAACCCUGACCGAGCAACGCCACGUGAACGAAGAAGUUAUUCGUAAUGUAAAGUUCUUUUAACAGGGAAGAAAGAGAAAUUUGACGGUACCUGAAGAAUAAGCUCCGGCUAACUACGUGCCAGCAGCCGCGGUAAUACGUAGGGAUCGAGCGUUAUCCGGAAUUAUUGGGCGUAAAGGGUGCGUAGAUGGCAUAGUAAGUCUUUUGUAAAAAUGCUGGGCUCAACCCAGUAGGGCAAAAGAUACUGGAAAGCUAGAGUAUGACAGAGGCAGGUGGAACUACAUGUGUAGCGGUAAAAUGCGUAGAUAUAUGUAAGAACACCAGUGGCGAAGGCGGCUUGCUGGGUCGAUACUGACAUUGAGGCACGAAAGCGUGGGGAGCAAACAGGAUUAGAUACCCUAGUAGUC
rnacentral:rRNA from 1 species